GGCCAUUUACCAGAAGGAAGAGAGAGUUCACCAGCCCUGUAUCCUGCAGGAACUUGAUCCAGGACUUGCAGCCUCCAGAACCACGAGACAAUCCGUGUCUGCUCUUGGAGCCCCUCAGUCUGUGGUGUUCCGUUCCGGCGGCCCUAGCUUACUAAGAGCGGCUACACAUUUCUCCGUUUGCCUCUGGCACCAAGAUGGCUUGGGAGGGCACUGCUCAGAACCCAAGUGUCUUCUGAAAGGAGCAGAUGAAACCCAUCGAGGUACUUCUCAAUUACACUGGAAAGAAGCAGUGAAAUUCUCCAGGUUACUUAUUCAUACUCAAGCCUUUUGUUUUUAAAUAGAAAGAGGCUC